CCUAUGGGUGGCUGCAGUGAGGAAUAUUGGUCAAUGGCCGGAAGGCUGAACCAGCUAAGCCGCGUGAAGGACGAAGGUGCUAAGCAUUGUAAACUCCUUUUGUCAAGGGACAAAAUCAGGCUCGAGAGCCUGACCGAGGGUACUUGAAGCAAAAGCAUCGGCUAACUCCGUGCCAGCAGCCGCGGUAAUACGGGGGAUGCGAGCGUUAUCCGGAUUUAUGGGGGUUAACGGUUGGGCAGGGGGCCUGUUAAGUCAGCGGUAAAAGCCCGGGGCUCAACCCCGGCGAGCCGUUGAAACUGGCUGGCUGGAGUUGGAGAGAGGUACGUGGAAUGCGCGGUGUAGCGGUGAAAUGCUUAGAUAUCGCGCAGAACCCCGAUUGCGAAGGCAGCGUACCGGCUCCACACUGACGCUGAGGCACGAAAGCGUGGGUAUCGAACAGGAUUAGAUACCCGUGUAGUC
rnacentral:rRNA from 1 species